AGAGAGGGCUGGAUGAUCGCUGGCCGCAAGGCUGGAGGAAAGUCCGGACUCCAAGGGCAGGGCGCUGGGUAACUCCCAGGCGGAGCGAUCCGACACAAGCGCAACAGAGAAUAGACCGCCGAUGGCCGGCCGCCAAACAUUGUGUUGAUGGCCGGAUCAGGUAAGGGUGAAACGGUGGGGUAAGAGCCCACCGCGUUUGUGGCGACACAAACGGCACGGCAAGCGUCGCCCGGAGCAAGGCCAAAUAGGGGGGCACUCCGAGACUCAACCAUAUGGGAGCCUCGGAACGACUGGCUCAGUCAGGCCCCCGGGUAGGUCGCUUGAGGCCCGGGGUAACUCGGGUCCCAGAGAAAUGAUCAUCCACGCCGGAGCCAUUGGCGAAGGCGGGACAGAAUCCGGCUUAUAGGCCCUCUCUCUCG
rfam:Nitrospirae bacterium RIFCSPLOWO2_02_FTLL_62_14 rifcsplowo2_02_scaffold_2611, whole genome shotgun sequence.